ACUGAGCCUGCUGGGAACAAGAACAAAUCAUAGUGCAGAGUACAGACUAGAUAACAAAUUCUUCUUGACAUGUUCUAAUGAGCAGAGCAGACAUUCUUGGUGUAUUAUUACACAGAUGGAGGGUCAUGUGUGUCAGCAUCUAUUGAAUGUACCUGUGGUUGAAGUCUGGGUGUUCUGUUCUGCCGUCUUGUUGCCUGGUUGAGAUGGAAUUCCUGUCAGGGAAAUAGAAAAGUCCUAGGGGUGUUAGAGAAAUAGAAUGUAUAACAGAUGCAUGGCUCACUUCUCCUGAGUAAUCAAGGCACUCUUGUUUGAAAGACGGGGAAAAGGUUUGUUUAACAAAAACAUUUGCUCAAAAAUUGAAAAUCCAAGAGGAGUUGUGUUUGUCCAUCUGUGUAUCUAAUGAUCUACUGAACCAAUAUCUGACUCUUAUUCAAGAGUUAGACAUUGCAGUCAGUCAUUUGGCAAUUACUGCAAGGAAUGUGUGUGUUUCUUAAAGAAUUUACUUGAAAUGUGUAGGACUCCCAGAUUGAUGGAUGUAGCCUUCUGAGUAGGCCUACAUAAUAAAUCACUUGAGGUGUUCUGAUGUGCAUGGUCAACAAAUGUGCUGGUUGAUAAAAUACCUGUAUUUAUGGGAAAGAUGUUUGAAAAGGGUAUUUUGUUCUUAAAUGAUAUUGUGAUGGUAGAGUUAUGUCCUUCAUGGAGUUGUUCGGGAAGGUCUGCUCAAUCCAAGAGUGCAACGAAUUGAUUACAGCAUUGCCCCAAAAAAAUGGAGGAGGCGGGUGGCAGUGGGAGGAGGUAGGGAACUGGUCUGUCUGCCCAAUAUAAAGGAUACAAACUGGAGGAGGCAGGUGGCAGUGGGAGGAGGUAGGGAACUGGUCUGUCUGCCCAAUAUAAAGGAUACAAACUGGAGGAGGCAGGUGGCAGUGGGAGGAGGUAGGGAACUGGUCUGUCUGCCCAAUAUAAAGGAUACAAACUGGAGGAGGCAGGUGGCAGUGGGAGGAGGUAGGGAACUGCUCUGUCUGCCCAAUAUAAAGGAUACAAACUGGAGGAGGCAGGUGGCAGUGGGAGGAGGUAGGGAACUGCUCUGUCUGCCCAAUAUAAAGGAUACAAACUGGAGGUGGCAGUGGGAGGAGGUAGGGAACUGCUCUGUCUGCCCAAUAUAAAGGAUCAAAACUGGAGGAGGCAGGUGGCAGCAGGAGGAGGUAGGGAACUGGUCUGUCUGCCCAAUAUAAAGGAUACAAACUGGAGGAGGCAGGUGGCAGCAGGAGGAGGUAGGGAACUGCUCUGUCUGCCCAAUCUAAAGGAUACAAACUGGGGGAGGCAGGUGGCAGCAGGAGGAGGUAGGGAACUGGUCUGUCUGCCCAAUAUAAAGGAUACAAACUGGAGGAGGCAGGUGGCAGUGGGAGGAGGUAGGGAACUGGUCUGUCUGCCCAAUAUAAAGGAUACAAACUGGAGGAGGCAGGUGGCAGUGGGAGGAGGUAGGGAACUGGUCUGUCUGCCCAAUAUAAAGGAUACAAACUGGGGGAGGCAGGUGGCAGCAGGAGGAGGUAGGGAACUGGUCUGUCUGCCCAAUAUAAAGGAUACAAACUGGAGGAGGCAGGUGGCAGUGGGAGGAGGUAGGGAACUGCUCUGUCUGCCCAAUAUAAAGGAUACAAACUGGAGGAGGCAGGUGGCAGUGGGAGGAGGUAGGGAACUGGUCUGUCUGCCCAAUAUAAAGGAUACAAACUGGAGGAGGCAGGUGGCAGCAGGAGGAGGAAGGGAACUGGUCUGUCUGCCCAAUAUAAAGGAUACAAACUGGGGGAGGCAGGUGGCAGUACACAUGCAUAUACAUGCAUAUGCACACACUCUCAUUCAAAUGAACACAUACAAGAACACACACACAUACAUGUAAUAGUGCCAGACAUGCACACAAACAUAUAAAGUAGGCAUUGCUGUUAUGAUUUCAGUUGUUCUUGAUGUCCUUUGUUUUAAAUGUAAUAUUUAAAAAAUAAAUAAUUUGCAUUGUU